UACGAGUGCCCCGAGCGUUAUCCGGAAUUAUUGGGCGUAAAGGGUGCGUAGGCGGCCCUGUUAGUCCUCUGUUAAAUCUCCCGGCUCAACCGGGAACAGGCAGGGGAAACGGCAGGGCUAGAGGGUAUGAGAGGUGUGUGGAACUCACAGUGUAGGGGUGAAAUCCGUUGAUAUUGUGGGGAACACCAAAUGCGAAGGCAGCACACUGGCAUACUCCUGACGCUGAGGCACGAAAGCGUGGGUCGCGAAUGGG
rnacentral:rRNA from 1 species